rnacentral:rRNA from 1 species
GGAUCGACGGGUCGGUCGCGCCUCUGGUGUGUACUGGCCCUGUCGGUUUCUCCCUUCUGACGAACCACGAUGUCAUUAAUUUGGUGUCGUGGGAAAUCAGGACUGUUACUUUGAAAAAAUUAGAGUGUUUAAAGCAGGCAUUCGCUUGAAUACAUUAGCAUGGAAUAAUGAAAUAGGACGUUCGAUCUUAUUUUGUUGGUUUCUAAGAUCGACGUAAUGAUUAAUAGGGAUAGUUGGGCU